AGCUUCGUUACCAGCCUCAGAAUCCGGAUUACGGCCUUCUACUGGAGUAUAGUCUAAUUAUAUUUAUGAAAACAAGAAAUAACUAAAGAAAAUUUCUAUAUACUUUUUGUUUUUAGGCUUUCAUGGUGAUAUGGGAUCAUAAUGGAGACCUUUUCGGAUUUCUACCGAAUCUUCAGGCCUACCCUGAUGAACAGAGCUACAAUGCUCACGAUACGUCGGCAUCCAAGCCUCAAUAGACAUGGUAGAAAUACGAAAAAACCUCCACCACGAAUCAAACAUAUAGAUUUGAUGUACAAUUAAUUUUGAAAAAAUGAAGAAAAAUGAAGUAUAAAAGAAUUAAAAUAAAGAAUAUGCAAUACAGUGAAAGCAGACACACGCUAAUUAUAAAGUAAACAUAUUGUUAUUCCAAAAGGUAUAUGUUACAUUUGACACGCAAUAACUACUACAUAAAUCAUCUGUACUAAAAAUUAAAAACUAACUAAUAAACUUGUAUGGAUAUGUAAAAAUAAAAGAGAAAAGAUACAGAUAUCAAAUUUAAAGUUUAUUUUAAUGUAAUAGUGUGUGCCUACCUCCGUUGUCUAUAAGAUUCUGGUCUUCUGUAUUCCUAACUGUACAAAAAAACAAUAAUUAAUUAAAGGAAUUUUAAUAAA